AUCAGUUGACCGGAAGCUAAGAUGUGAUAGUAAAAAUGGUAGUAUGUGUGUUUGUGUGUGUGAUAGUGGUUCCAGAGACCAUGUGGACAUCCCGUCGUCUAUCUGGAUGCAGUGCACCAUGGACCUGACCAGAUCCAGAUUUGUGGAAUUGCAGCCAAAUUGAAUUAUAAAUAACCAAGACAAUUGAACAGCAGUAAAAACUAUUCACUAAUACUAAUUUGUACAUAGUGUUUGGUAUAUCUUAAGAAUAUUAUGAUGUACGGAUUCUUCACUUAAUAAAUAUUAAUAAAUAAAAAAAGUCAACGCGGCUAAACUUUUACAAUCAAAA